UCAAUGGUGGGCUGGGCGAGGGCAUCGAAAGAUGCGCCGGUAUCUGUGGAAGCCGGUACGCCAACCUCGUUCAGUUCACCACCA
rnacentral:antisense_RNA from 1 species